rnacentral:rRNA from 1 species
CCCUUAGAUGUUCUGGGCCGCACGCGCGCUACACUGAUGCAUUCAACGAGCCUAUCCUUGACCGACAGGUCCGGGUAAUCUUUGACUCUGCAUCGUGACGGGGAUAGAUUAUUGCAAUUAUUAAUCUUCAACGAGGAAUGCCUAGUAGGCGCAAGUCAUCAGCUUGCGUCGAUUACGUCCCUGCCCUUUGUACACACCGCCCGUCGCUCCUACCGAUUGGGUGUGCUGGUGAAAUGUUCGGAUCGGCCGUUUGUCGCGGUUUCCGCGGCUCGUGGCUGAGAAGUUCAUUAAACCCUCCCACCUAGAGGAAGGAGAAGUCGUAACA